CCUACGGGAGGCAGCAGUAGGGAAUCUUCCGCAAUGGACGAAAGUCUGACGGAGCAACACCGCGUGAACGAUGAAGGCCUUCGGGUCGUAAAGUUCUGUUGUUAGGGAAGAACAAGUGCUAGUUAAAUAAGCUGGCACCUUGACGGUACCUAACCAGAAAGCCACGGCUAACUACGUGCCAGCAGCCGCGGUAAUACGUAGGUGGCAAGCGUUGUCCGGAAUUAUUGGGCGUAAAGCGCGCGCAGGCGGUUUCUUAAGUCUGAUGUGAAAGCCCCCGGCUCAACCGGGGAGGGUCAUUGGAAACUGGGAAACUUGAGUGCAGAAGAGGAAAGUGGAAUUCCAAGUGUAGCGGUGAAAUGCGUAGAGAUUUGGAGGAACACCAGUGGCGAAGGCGACUUUCUGGUCUGUAACUGACGCUGAGGCGCGAAAGCGUGGGGAGCAAACAGGAUUAGAUACCCUGGUAGUCCACGCUGUAAACGAUGAGUGCUAAGUGUUAGAGGGUUUCCGCCCUUUAGUGCUGAAGUUAACGCAUUAAGCACUCCGCCUGGGGAUACGGUCGCAAGACUGAAACUCAAAUGAAUUGACGG
rnacentral:rRNA from 1 species